rnacentral:snoRNA from 1 species
GAUCUGUAGUCUUGGAGGCGCACUGGGUUGGCAGUACCCCGAGCACACCAGACUUGCAGAGAAAGCAUGCUCCAGAGGAAGCUGAGGCAUGGCUGCUCAAGGACCGGCAGUUCAUGUGCAAUUUCCCUCCGAUAGCACCUGGAUACUGUUGCCACGGUGAUGAUGGCUGUGCUGUGUCAUUAUCUAUCAGUCAACAGUAAGAGAAGCUUUGCAGUCGUGGUGUUGUUGAGCAGAUAGAGUGACUUUCUGUUGAAAACUUAACUACUGCUACAGAU